GCACAACAUACACAAAAAGUGAUCAGAUCGUUUUGGUAGAAUGAAAGUUCUUUUCGUUUAAAGUUUUGACCGACUGGCCAUGACGUGAUAGACCCAAAACAGUUCCAAAGGCAGGGGAAAGCCGGCUUUUCAGGGUUCCUGUGCAAACAUAGACCAACGCUCCCCCUGGCUGCUAUGAAGCAAAUGCUCCCCCUAUUCGUUUGGUCGGGAAGUGGGACGAGCAGCGGUACCAUCUUUGCCCAUGUUCGCAGAGCCACAAGGUCAAAAUAGUUCCA